CCCUCGGUGGACUACACUCCCCAGAGUCCUCGGGAGUCGUCCAGGUACACGCCCCAGAAUAUUGGUCAUAGCGGUCCACCCGGGACUGCGCGACCCGGAAUCCUUGGAAGGACUUCUCGGAAGGACUCCUCUCUGACAGUAGUGACAUAAUAUUCUUCACUGUGGCUUCUUCCAUUGUGACCCAGACCAAUCUACUUAAGGUCCGCAAAUACUGCUCACGUUCUCCCAUGAAGUCCAUCAUGUGGGGAGUGUUUUCCUUGUAGGAUUACGCUGCUCUCAAGUGCAUACAUGAUGAUCUUUUUGUCCAAGCAUCAGAGGUGAUCCCAGCAUCUUCACAGUACCAGCCUUUCCCCAAGAUCCUCGCCAGAGAAAAGGGUUACCCAGAUCAUCCUGCCACUGGUGAGUUGCUUUGUUGUCAUGUACUGGGUGGACCUUAUCAUCUCAUCCUCUUCAUCCCUGUUAUGGACGUAUAACCCAGUCAUCCUGAGCAUCUAGAACCUUGUAGCCUGUGUCUAUGCCACUCUCGUUCCAUUGGUACAAAUCCGCUCUGAUAAAAGAAUAGUUAAUAUUCUCCAAAAAAUGGAAUUAAAGUGCUAUAAUUUUUUAAUGUGUUGGUGAUGAAAAAUAUUUCUAAAAAUUAGUCUCAUUCUAUAGUUAAAUUGUUCAAGUAGCCCCAGAUUUAGCUUACUGAGUUUAAAUAAAAUGCGUGGAAUUACACUUUUAUUAUAUUUUUAUGCUUCUGAAACUGAGGCAUCUAAGGACUAUGUAGUUUCUUCAGUUCAAUGUUCACCAUAGAUUGACAUUUCAGAUAUCAAGUCUUUUGCACUUUUAUUUUUAUGUUAACUUUGUACAAGAAAAUGUUUCUCUCUUUUUGAAGUACAUUCUUAAAAAAUUUGUUUUGGUAAUCAAAUCUCUCAAUGUUUUUACUUUUGAAAAUAUUUACUUACUCUGUUUAUGAAUGAUACUUUAGCUAAAUAUUCAAUUCUAGCUUUUAAGCCAUGCUUGCUCAUUGUAACCUCCCUGACUAAAAAAAAUUAUGUCAAUUUGGAUUUUAAAUUUAAUCUAGAAUUCAUUUUAAAGGGUUUUAAAUGAAAUUUAUAUGUGGCUAGAUACUGUUUUGGUAAUACUCGAUAGUUUCCCGCCUCUAUUGGGAUAUUAUUGACAAAAAUUUUGUAUAUUUAUGGUGCACAAUAUGAUGUUUUGAGGUAUAGACACGUGCACGCAGACACAUAAACACACACACACACACACAUUGUAAAAUUACCAAAAUCAAGCUUAAUAACAUGUCAAUUACUUCUCAUACAAGGGUAUUUUUGGUGUAUGGUGAGAACAUUUGAGAUCUACUUCAUUAAUAUAAUUUACUUAUACAAUACAUAUUAUUAAUAUAGUCUCUAUGCUGUAUACAUAUAUUUAUAUUAACUUCUCUUUUGUUAUUGUUGGAGACAGUUGUCUGUCUUUGUUCCCCAGGCUGGAGUGCAGUGGCAUUAUCAUAGCUCACUGAAACGUCAAACUCCUGGGUUCAAAUCAUUCUCCCACCUCAGCCUCAAAAGUAGCUAGAACUACAGGGGUGCACCACUAUGCCAAGCUAAUUUGUAGGAACAGAGUCUUGCUAUGUUACCCAGGCUGGUCUUGAACUCCUGGCCUCAAGCAAUCCUCCUGCCUUAGCCUCCCAAAAUACAGGGAUUAUAGGCAUGAGCCACAUGCCUAGCUUUAUAACAUUUUCUUUAUUCAUUUAUGUGUUGAUGGACAUUUACAUUGUUUUCAUAUCUUGUCUAUUGUGAAUAUUGCUUCAAGAAACAUAGGAGUGAAGAUAUCUCUUCAAUAUGUGAUUUUAUGUUCUUUGGAUAUUUAACCAUAGGUAGGAUUCCUGAAUCAUAUGAUAGUUUUAUUUUUAAUUUUUUGAUGAAUAAUCAUGCUGUUUUCCAUAAUGGCUUUACCAAUUUACAUUCCCAGUGACAGUGUACAAGGUUCCUUUUCUCUCCAUCAUUGAUAACAUUUGUUUUCUUUUGAAUUUUUAAUAAACAUUACCCUAACAUGUGCUUGAGGUGCUAUCUCAUUUUGGUUUUGAUUUGCAUUCUCCUGAUGAUUACUAAUGGCUUCUUUGAAAAAGGAUCCAUUUAGAUUAUUUGGCUACUUUUAAAAAGAAUGUGUUAUUUUUAUUGUUAUUUUUAUUCAGAGGGGGUUAUAUUUUAUGAAUUUCUUACAGAUUUUGAAUGCUAACCCUUUAUCUGAUAUUUGGCUUACAAGUAUUUUUCUUCGGUUCUGUGGAUUGCCUUUUAAAUUGAUUGACUGUCUUUUGCUAUGCAGUAGAAACUUUUUAGUUUGAUGUCGUUUCAUUUUUUUUCUCCCUGGGCUUUUAGUGUCAAAUACAAAAAAUAAUUAUUGCCGCAAACAAUGCCAAAGAAUUUUCCCCAAUGUUGUUUUCUAAAAGUUUUAUGGUUUCAGGUCCAAUAUUGAAGUCUUUAAUCUCUUAAGUUAAUUUUUGUGUAUUCUGUAAAAGAUGGGUUAAAUUUUUUUUGCAUGUGUAUAUCCAGUUUUCCCAUCACCAUUUAUUGAACAGUGUAUUCUUUCUUCACUGUAUAUUUAUAUAUCUUUGUUGAAAAUUAGUUGACUGUGUUCAGAUGGAUAUUUCUGAGCUCUCUAUUCAGUUUCAUUGGUCUAUGUGUCUGUGUUAAUGCCAGCAUCAUGCUGUUUUGAUGACUGUAGCUUUGUUAUAUCAUUUGAAAUUAAGAAGUUUGAUGCCUUCAGCUUUGUUCUUGCUCAAAAUUCUUUGGUUAUUUUGGGUCUUUUCUAAUUCCUUACAAACUUUAGAAAUUUUUUAUUUUUCUGGAAAAUGAUAUUUUAAUUUUGAUGGAGAUUGCUUUAAAUUUUUUUUUUUUUUUUUUGAGAUGGAGUCUCACUGUGUCACCCAGGGCCCAGGCUGGAGUGCAGUGAGGUGAUCUCAGCUCACUGCAACCUCCACCUUCCUGGUUCAAACAAUUCCCCUGACUCAGCCUCCUGAGUAGCUGGGAUUACAGGUGCACGCCACCAUGCCUGGCUAAUUUUUUUGUGUGUUUUUAGUAGAGAUGGGGUUUCACCAUGUUGGCCAGACUGGUCACGAACUCCUGACCUCAAGCAAUCCACCCACCUCGGCCUCCCAAAGUGCUAGGAUUACAGGUGUGAGCCACUGCACCCGGUGAGAUUGCUUUAAAUCUUUAUAUCACUUUUAGUAGUAUGAAUGUUUUAAUAUUAAUUUAUCCAAUCCAUGAACACUAAGUUUUUUUUGUCUCUUCUAUAAUUGCCUUUGCCACUAUUUUAGAGUUUUUAUUGUACAAAUCUUUUACCGUCUUAGUUAUAAGUAUUAUUUUUUAUGUUAUGGCAUAUGGAAUUUUCUUAAUUUUUCCCAUAUAUUUUGUUGUAAGUGUAUAGAAAUGCAAUUUAUUGUUUUGUACAUUGAUAUAGUAUCCUGCAACAUUGCUGAAUUAGUUUAUUAGUUUUAAAAGUUUUUUUCCUGUAAUGAUGAGCACACGGGACUGUGUUUACACACUCAUUAAUAUUCUGUUAACAUAUCACAGUGCCUAAAAAUGUGCUCUGUUGUAUUUCUGCGGUGACCAAUUUAAUGGCAUCUUUUAGUCCUAAUUUUUUUUUCUUUUAAAAUACUUUUGUCUGGUAUUGUAUAAUGGUGUGUUACUUUUCAGUUGUGCUACACAUUUAUUUCCAGGCAGAGUUAGUCAAGCUUUCUAAUAAAGUUAUUUAAUACCUUUA
rnacentral:lncRNA from 1 species